GAUGAACGCUAGCUACAGGCUUAACACAUGCAAGUCGAGGGGAAACGAUAUUGGAAGCUUGCUUCCGAUAGGCGUCGACCGGCGCACGGGUGAGUAACGCGUAUCCAACCUGCCCACCACUUGGGGAUAACCUUGCGAAAGUAAGACUAAUACCCAAUGACGUCCAUAGAAGACAUCUGAAAUGGAUUAAAGAUUUAUCGGUGAUGGAUGGGGAUGCGUCUGAUUAGCUUGUUGGCGGGGUAACGGCCCACCAAGGCGACGAUCAGUAGGGGUUCUGAGAGGAAGGUCCACCACAUUGGAACUGAGACACGGUUCAAACUCCUACGGGAGGCAGCAGUGAGGAAUAUUGGUCAAUGGGCGAGAGCCUGAACCAGCCAAGUAGCGUGCAGGAUGACGGCCCUAUGGGUUGUAAACUGCUUUUAUAAGGGAAUAAAGUGAGCCUCGUGAGGCUUUUUGCAUGUACCUUAUGAAUAAGGACCGGCUAAUUCCGUGCCAGCCGCCGCGGUAA
rnacentral:rRNA from 1 species